UGGGGAAUAUUGCACAAUGGGCGCAAGCCUGAUGCAGCCAUGCCGCGUGUAUGAAGAAGGCCUUCGGGUUGUAAAGUACUUUCAGCGGGGAGGAAGGGAGUAAAGUUAAUACCUUUGCUCAUUGACGUUACCCGCAGAAGAAGCACCGGCUAACUCCGUGCCAGCAGCCGCGGUAAUACGGAGGGUGCAAGCGUUAAUCGGAAUUACUGGGCGUAAAGCGCACGCAGGCGGUUUGUUAAGUCAGAUGUGGAAUCCCCGGGCUCAACCUGGGAACUGCAUCUGAUACUGGCAAGCUUGAGUCUCGUAGAGGGGGGUAGAAUUCCAGGUGUAGCGGUGAAAUGCGUAGAGAUCUGGAGGAAUACCGGUGGCGAAGGCGGCCCCCUGGACAAAGACUGACGCUCAGGUGCGAAAGCGUGGGGAGCAAACAGG
rnacentral:rRNA from 1 species